rnacentral:tRNA from 1 species
UGGGGCGUCGCCAAGCGGUAAGGCAUCUGGUUUUGGUCCAGACAUUCCGAGGUUCGAAUCCUUGCGCCCCAG